UACGUAGGGUGCGAGCGUUAAUCGGAAUUACUGGGCGUAAAGCGUGCGCAGGCGGCGCCGCAAGUCAGGCGUGAAAUCCCCGAGCUUAACUUGGGAAUGGCGCUUGAAACUACGGUGCUGGAGUGUGGCAGAGGGAGGUGGAAUUCCUGGUGUAGCAGUGAAAUGCGUAGAUAUCAGGAGGAAUACCGAUGGCGAAGGCAGGUCUCUGGGCUGACACUGACGCUCAUGCACGAAAGCGUGGGGAGCAAACAGG
rnacentral:rRNA from 1 species